AGCGAACGCUGGCGGCAGGCCUAACACAUGCAAGUCGAACGAACUCUUCGGAGAUAGUGGCGGACGGGUGAGUCACACGUGGGAACGUGCCUUUUGGUUCGGAAUAACUCAGGGAAACUUGUGCUAAUACCGAAUGUGCCCUUCGGGGGCAAGAUUUAUCGCCAUUCGAGCGGCCCGCGUCUGAUUAGCUAGUUGGUGAGGUAACGGCUCACCAAGGCGACGAUCAGUAGCUGGUCUGAGAGGAGGACCAGCCACACUGGGACUGAGGCACGGCCCAGACUCCGACGGGGGGCGGAAGUGGGGAAGAGUGCGCAAUGGGGAAAGGCCAGAGGUAGCCGUGCGUAGUGAAUGAUGAGGGGCGUAGAAUGGUAAAAUUCUUGGACCGGGGAUGAAAAGAAGGGAACCCGGAGAAGAAGCACGGGCAAACUUCUG
rnacentral:rRNA from 1 species